GUCGGAGUUCAGUCUUCCCAGGCCCACCACGCUUCGCCGUCGGCUUCGCAUGGCACCGCCGGCAGAACGACGAGGCGAAGCGCGUCCGGCAUAGCCCGAAGGGCGACGCCGGACAGAAAGAGCGCUUCGUCUUCUGGUUACGGGGCCAUAGCUCAGCUGGGAGAGCGCGUGCUUUGCAAGCAUGAGGUCGUCGGUUCGAUCCCGUCUGGCUCCACCAGAUGGUUUGAUCACCGAGAUCUUGACCGUCGUCCGCGAAACAUCACUUCGCAUCCUGCUAGUCUGGAUAGACAGCAAGUUGCGUGUUUUCUGACAUCGUAAAGAGGAGAUCGAUCCGAGUUGGAUCGUGCAACAUAUCGUUGCGCGAGCCUUCAUUAUCUCCGGAUCAUUUCGGCGCUCGCUUCCAGCCGUGAGGUUGGAUGCGGGUUGUAAAUGAUCCUUUUAGCGAAGCUUGACCGCCUCGCUAUCGGAACGAUCUUACGAAGCAAGCUGGUCUUUCUAGUCAAUGUCCGGCUGUACGUAGCAUUCAUCGAGGGUGCGCGCCCGAGAUUUCGGUCUCUUGGCAAUCGUACAGACAACAUUCUGCCGAGUGUGUGGACAUUGAUAAUGAGAGCAAUCAAGUGCCUUAAGGGUGUUCGGUGGAUGCCUUGGCGCUGAGAGGCGAUGAAGGACGUGCUACGCUGCGAUAAGCCGUGGGGAGCUGCGAAGAAGCUUUGAUCCGCGGAUUUCCGAUGGG
rnacentral:misc_RNA from 1 species